UGAGCAGGCAGUCUUCAUCUUCAUAUAGACCAGAGUUCAAUCCAGUGGGUUUGCAGAGACAGCUAGACUGGUUCAAAGAGUUUAUUGAAAUUGAGAGUUUGAGCCUAGUGGACCAGGAGUUAUAGGGUGUCUGUAUGGAGUGGGUAGAGGGCCUUGGGGAGGAGGAGUAGCCUGAAACAAUGGAUGCUUCCUAGAACUGAUCCAGACUGUAGGUCCACCACCACCUAGGAUACAGUGAGACAGUGUUCUGCACUAGGGUAAAGAGAAGAUGGAUUAAGAGAGUUACUCAUAGAAAGGUGAAUAUAAGAUGCAAGGAGAAUAAUAUUUGAUUGCAUUCUGGUUAAGAAAAGGGGGUCAGGGAGGAGAGAGGUGUAGUCAGUAACCCCAACAUCCAUAGGGUAGAAGAGGCGGUGGCAGAGGACUGCUGAAGGGAUGGUGUGAAGAGAAGCCUGGACUUAGUGUCUUUGGCUCUUUCUGAUUAGAUCAUGUGGGUGCAGGCCAAGUCUUGAGCCUGUGAUCUUGGGGCCUCGGUACAGCUGGGAGUGAGAGCCUAAGGUGACCUGCAGCGUUAGGAGCAUACACUCCACAGUCUGAAGAAGGUGGUUUUAACUGUUCUUCUUUCUAACCUAAAGGGUCAUUCAGGAACACGAGAUCCUCCAGUGGCAGCUUCUCCUGGAGCUCCCGCCAAAGUCAGUCCUGGGGGCGGGGCGGGGGUAGGACUGUAGUGUGCUGGCUGCCCAGACUCACUGGCCUGCACCCCAAACCUAUGCACCAAACCCACCAAGUGGACAGGGAGAAUAAUGGGAUUCCCACAAGCUCCCCAGAACCAGGGUACUGGAAAGAUAGGUAGGUGUGGAUAACUGAGCUACAAAACCAGUCAAAAAGAGACAGAAACAAGACUCCUGGUUUGGGCUCAGAGCCUGACAACAGGGAAGAGCUGAGCAUCUCUGACUUCUUUGUAUUUCUUUCCUCAUAAGGGGGCAAAGAGCAACUAACUAUAUGCAGUUAAAUGCAGGGGCAGGAGUCUGCUCUCCCUUGUACAGUGGGUUUUCAGCCAUAGUUUUAGGUUUCAGUAAUGUCUGAUGGUUCCAUUCACCGGCUUAAAAAAAAUAACCAAGAUCUCUAAAUCCACCGUGGAAUGAGUGGGGUG
rnacentral:lncRNA from 1 species